ensembl:lncRNA
GUCUAAGGGGGUUUCCCCAGAGAACACCUGUCAGUGGUUUUUCCGUUGACUAGAUGUAGGUUCGAAGAUCAACCUAUAGGGGGCGCACGUAGCCCAUUUGACAACUUGAGUUAACUGAGCUGCUGCACCUGGGAGAGAUUGGGCGCGGACAAGGGGAUGCUCUGAAACCAUACCAUGCACUGAAAGCGUGCGCGUCUGUGUUAUUGAUAUUCUUUGGUCUCGGUCGAGCUGAGAAAACGCUGUUGUGUUGUUGGCAGCCUGGAGUGCAGAAGAGGGAAUAGACUGGUCAUUGUGUUUGUUUCCAUUUUGUGAAUAUAAGGUGGAAACCCCUUCAUCUGGUCCACCUCUGACCAGGUCUGUGGCGAUACAUUUCACUUCCCUGGCCUGCCUGGGAAAUGUUGACUGAGGGAGAUGAAUGACUAGCAUCUCCAGUGUGGCCUCUGGACGUCUGACCGCAACACGGAGAACGCCAUGAAAUAUCUACCGCGGUCUUCACUAUUAGUGGACCAUUAAGGCCAGUCAGCAUCUUCACACAUCAUACACAUGCUCUCAGAGGGAAUUUGCAGCUUACAUUAGGAAAAAAUAUUGGAUUCAGGCCCACAUUAUUCCCUCAUGGACAGGAGGAGAAAAUGUGAGACAAGAUAAGGCACUUCUCUUCGACUAACGGGAUAAAAAAAAAGCAGAAAGGCUUUUGGAUGGAACACAAGGCAGAUCGGACCGUUGACGUGUUGAGCCUCUCCGACAACUCUCUUGGGCAAAUGAAGAACACCAACCGGCAGCUACCGGCUUUCGCCCCCGUGGGCGACGCCAACGCCAACGAGAUCCUCUCAGGGGAGACUGGCACGAGAGAGAGGGGCUGGAAGGAUGGUAGCCCGGUGCCACCGCUGGUGUCCCAGAACGAUACCCAGGACCGCAUCAUCAUCUGGGACACUGAUGCCGAGUGUCAGGAUGUCGCUCUGGAGGAACUGGAGUUGCUGGAAUGCCAGGAGCUGGAAGCGUUCCUCAGGAAACGUGGGAAGAAUGAGUACCGCAGCAUCAGAGGCGAAGGGCGCAUGAAAGGAGUGCUGUUAGACAGACAACCCAAGACCACUACUACCACUAUUACCACCAGCAGUGGCUCCGGCUCGACCAACACAAGAGGCUAUCAGCAAAACAACAACAACCACUGGAGGACCAGAGGCAGUGUGGAAGAACUGGAGUGUUGCUCAAUCGCUCAGUCGUACACUUCGGAGAGCCUGCGAAAGGCCCGCUCCAAUUCCGAGGGCAACGUGUUCGCCUCGUCCUCCCUCUCCACUGUGCCUAACUUCAGCAGCAGCCUGGCCAGUGCUUUGGACAGUGCCGGCAGUCACUUGUCUCAGUACGUCUACCCUACCUCAGCCCAGAGCCGGGGCCAGCAGCACCAAGCAGCCCGAGAUCUGUCACCCGAAGUGGACCAAAACCACAACACCAUGCUGCCUCAGGGAAGGGACCCGGGAAAACCCAACACUCUCGUCCAGGGCUACGCUUUCGCACAGAGCAAUGCAAACAGGAAGUACCUGCCUAGCAGGCUGGUGGCACCCAAGCAGAGGCUGGAGGAGGUGUGUGUGAAAACGGACUGGAGACAGGACGUCAGUGGCAGGCAGGCCAACGGAGCCUCCAGCGAGAGGAAGAAGAGUUGCGACGAAAGGGUACCACCGUGUCGUCGGCAGCUGGUUCGGCCAUUUUUAUCUGAAACCAACCCAGAACACACCUCUUGGGGUCCGGAUCCAACUCCCCAGCCGCCAUUCCCCUCUGCAGACGUUUGCCAUGCAAUCAAUAACAAGCAUCCUGUGCACAGGGCAACAUCGCAUGUGAACGGCAGCUCUCAGUAUUCAAUCCACGGCUCAGGGUCACUGAAGGGCAAAUCGAGCACAGCUGGGCCCUCCAGUCUGGAGAGAAAGGCUCCUGUCACUCCAAGGCUCUGCCGGAGCCCCAGUGGGGCCGACUCUCCCCCUUCCCCCCGAGACACAGGGUCACCGCGGAGACACCCCUCCACGUCCCCUCCCAAACCCCCACCGCGGGGGUACGCCAGCACCCCGCAGGGGGUCACCACCACCAGCAGCAGCAGCAGCAGCAUCCUGCGGGCCCCCUAUCGGACCAGCCUGGGCACGGGCAUCCCGAAACCCCCCGUUCAGGAGCGUGCGUUCCCCCCGCCACCCCCGCCUCACGAGAGGUCCUCGCCACCCAAGUGCCCGCCGAAGCCCAAGUCCGUCCGGCCAAAAAUCAUCACCUACGUCCGCAAGGGUCCCCCCGUGAAAGUCCAGCCUCUGGAUGGCCCCCCUCACCAGGUGUCCUCCCUCCCCGGGAGGCUCGGCUCCUACACGGGCACACAGGUGUCCUGCGAGGCCAACGGCAGCAGGGGUGAGAACCUGGACUCGCCGGUGCUCAGUGCCUCCAACCUGUUGUUUGAUAAGUACCGGCAGGAGAUGCAGAAGGCUCAGCAGUUUAAGCCCACUGGAGUGGUUGGCUCAGGGAUCAAGACCACCAGCUACACCGUACCCCACAAGCAGCCCAGCAGGGCAGAUAGCUUCUACGGGUCCCUCAACAGCAAGUGCAUGCCUGGAGGGAUGAAUAGACCUUCGGCUCAGUUUGGUAGUCUGGGUCCUGGACACACCUUGGGGUCAGACAGGGCUCCCCAGAGGGCUCUUAGGCCCCAACUGGGAGUCGCAGGGGCCGUGCGGGGCCCAACCAACUCCGCCACAAAGAACCGCACAUUCCCAGCAGCGGGUCAGAACCAACCAGUGCAAGCCGUCAGCCCGGCCCCCCAGAACCUUCAGAACUCCUCUGGUGAGUGACCAACUGAUAAGGUGCUUUAGAGAAAUUGAGGUCUUGCUUUACUUAAAGAUCUACUGGAAAUAGCAUUAGUAGCAUAGCAGAACGGUUAGUUACUGCAUUAAUGCACAUGAACUUGCCAUGAACUUCAGUAUUAAUAAAUGAUAAGCAGUGCUGGAGGUUAUGAUCCUU